rnacentral:rRNA from 1 species
AGAGUUUGAUCCUGGCUCAGGACAAACGCUGGCGGCGUGCGUAACACAUGCAAGUUGAACGCGAAUAUAUAAGAAGUGGUAACACGGAUUGUAUGUUUGAGUAGCGGACGGGUGAGUACAACAUGAGAACCUAUCCUUCAAAGGGGGACAACGUUUGGAAACGGACGCUAAUACCCCAUAAGCCGAGAGGUUAAAGCAGCGAUGCGAUGGAGGAGGGGCUCGUGUCCUAACAGCUAGUUGGUGGGGUAAUGGCCUACCAAGGCGACGACGGGUAGCCGGCCUGAGAGGGUGUACGGCCACACUGGAACUGAGAUACGGUCCAGACUCCUACGGGAGGCAGCAGUGGGGAAUAUUGGGCAAUGGGAGAAAUCCUGACCCAGCGACGCCGCGUGAACGAAGACGGCCUUCGGGUUGUAAAGUUCUUUUAUGUGGGAAGAAAACAAUGACGGUACCACAUGAAUAAGCCCCGGCUAACUACGUGCCAGCAGCCGCGGUAAUACGUAGGGGGCGAGCGUUGUCCGGAAUUACUGGGCGUAAAGGGCAUGCAGGCUGUGAAUCAAGUCAAGUGUUAAAGGAUGCGGCUCAACCGUGUUAUGCACUUGAAACUGAUUUACUGGAGUGUUGGAGAGGCAAGUGGAAUUCCUGGUGUAGAGGUGAAAUUCGUAGAUAUCAGGAGGAACACCGAUGGCGAAGGCAGCUUUCUGGACCGAUAUUGACGCUGAGGCGCGAAGGCGUGGGUAGCAAACGGGAUUAGAUACCCUGGUAGUCG